GGUGGGAUACCCAAGCGGCCAAAGGGAGCAGACUGUAAAUCUGCCGUCACAGACUUCGAAGGUUCGAAUCCUUCUCCCACCA
rfam:Proteus penneri ATCC 35198 genomic scaffold Scfld4, whole genome shotgun sequence.